rnacentral:ncRNA from 1 species
CUAAAAGCAGUGAUGGGAAGAGUAAUUUGCAUGAAUAGUAAAAGAGAGCCGGAAAAGGUGAGAGCCGGUACUAGGAAUUCAAGUGAAAAUGGCCCCGGAGCUUCGUAGUCGACAAAUUUAUUGAAUUUUAGACUAUGACGGAGUUGCAACCGUUAAUCUUGCAAGGUGACAUGGUCACUUACUGAGUUUGUUAUCGUGAGAUAAUAAUAAACUAGGGUGGUAGCGCGAGAAUAUAUCCUCGUCCCUAUA